GUUCCAUCUAUGACUCUCCCAUCUGCUCUUUAGCUAGAGCAAAGUGCUUUAAUCUUCAUAGAAAGUUCUAAGAUUGUGUUAGCAACCCACUUAUUUGGUUUCCUUAGAAACCAGAACACAGUAUUUAAAGUAAUGGCAUUCCUUGCUCGGAAUAGAAAUUGAGUAAGCUGAUCGUGGUGCCCCUGGUCUGCUCAGGGCUGCUUCACCUCUUCAAACACUAUUUUUCACCUGCCAAUUCAUGGUAGCAAACCUAUAAAUGGUAGCACAGGGGCAACUAUCUGGAAUACAACAUAGUGAAAGCUCUGGACCUGUAUCCACCGCCAACUUCACCCUGGCCAGCUGCAGUGGCACCUACAGUAGCCCAGUCUGUGGAAAUAUUGACAAAACAAACUGUCUCUUUUAAUUUCAGAAUUUAAAAAAUGUUUCCAUGUACUUGUAACUUUUGCAGCAAUUUAGGUUGGUUGCCACCAGCUUCCAAGAAAUCUGAACACGAAUCAAGAUGAUGAAGCUGCUCAGGCAUUUAGAAAAAAAGCAUAAAGAAAGGAAAAAGAACUUUGAAAGGAAAUCAGUACUAAAGUAUUAUUAACUAGGCAUCUGUUGUUUUGUCUGGUUAGUACAUCCAUUCUUUGGGGAACAACACUUUAUGCCUCACACACCCACCAGCGAUAUAAUCUCUUAAUUGCAACAGGAGCAGGCAGUUAAAUGACCCCGAAACCAUUGAUUAGUCUGGAAAUCAUGAAACAGUUGAUCUGUGCCGGGCCAAUGGGAUUUUUCUUUGGGAAUUUUGGACUUGGGAUUGAGAGAGCUUGGCUCAAAUGGUUUGGGGUGUCUGGCUUUUAAAAGAGGAAUCUCUAAAGUCAUUUUUGGCCAAGAAAAAGCAAAAUCUGGGUCAGGCAGUGUUGAACAGAUUUCCUUACUGUCAGACAUUUUACAGCCUCCAAUAUCCUAAUGUAUUUUGACUCUCCAUGAAGGAAGGAUUUAUUAUAUAUCAGGCUGCAUUUCCUCAACAUGUUGGACCAUGGCACACACAGUUCUCCACAUUCAGUCACAGAGCACUUUUUCUGUGCAGGAACUAUGAACAUCCUGGGGAACUAGUUUUUCAUGUAAUGUGCGACAAAAUCUAUGUUGCUUAAACUCUGAAGGUCCAGGAGGAUGAGGCACAUAAGGAAUACCUGGACUGCUGUAACUCGCAGAUUCUCAACCAGGGGCAAUUUCACCUCCAGGGGACAUUCGGCAACGUCUGGAAACAGUUUUGAUUGUCACAACUGAAGAAGGGGCUACUUGUCAUCUAGCAGGUGAAGACCAGAGAUACGCUAAGCACCUUAUGGUACACAAGAGAGCGACCCCACCCCACAAAAAAGAACUAUUUGGCCUGAAAUGUCAACAAUGGAGAGGUUGAGAGGCCCUGCACUAACUCAAUCCUGGGAGACUGCAUUAGUCCCAUAUAGGUUCAUGGCCCCAAGAAGGUGGGCAUGUAUUCAUAUGGUGAGUUAUCAAAUGCUCUUGACUUCUGUUUCUGUCACAUGUUUAUACAUUCUCUAAUGUUCCAGAGUUGGCUUAGCCAGGGACAUCCAGGUCUUCCUGAUACAAUAGGCCUUAUUUUUAAAAAGUGUUUUUUUCAACCGCCUGGGGAAGAGAAUGAAGAGAGUUUGACCUGGAGCUUCUGAUCAUGUGCCAGUACAUCCUCCCAUGUCUCCCACUUGUUUCCUCCCAUCAUGUGGGCAGGCGUGUGAGGAGCAAAAGGGCAGGGAGGCACCUCUGGCAAGGGCUGCUCAGUGAACACUCCAAGAAAAGCACAACUCAAGUGCGAACAGGAGGCCAGAGGAAUUCGGUGGUCUGGCCGUAUCACACAAUUGAAUCAAGCAAAGGUGGCGGGGACUGAGUUUUCUAAGACACUGUGACAUGGAAUCCAGCUGCCUGCCCUGCUGAGUAGCAUCUCUGAAGCAGACACAAGAAAGCCUCUGCAGGAUACUCCAGCAACCUCCCAGGGAAUGGCUGCCCUGGAACCAAGUCCCUCAGCAGAAUCACUGGACAGGGGCUUGGAAAGGGGCUUGGAAAUGCCUGAGCAGCUCCUGUAAUUCUGGAGAGAAUGGAACACAAAGCCCCCGUCUACAAAGAAGAAGCUCCCUUCUUAAGAUUACUGUUGAAAGACAUAGGGAGACUUACUAAGCCACAAACUGAGGACCCUCUAUUAUAUUUUAAUCAAAUCAGUGUUGGUUGAUGCUGAUUCUGGGCCAUGGUUGAGUUAGUGCCCUGGCAGAGUUGACAGACACACAGGCUGCCCCAUCUCACACAUGGCUGUGUACUGAGAGUUCCUAAAUUGCUUGAAACAUGGAACAUUAUCCCAGAGUAGCCAUAUUAAAGUGCUCAUUAUAUUCCCAAGCUAAGCCCUAGAAACCCUUAACCAUAACUCAUGUUGGAGCUGAAAUGAUAGGAAAAACCCACAGUUAUAGGAAACUAUGCUGCUACAAAUGCAUUUCAGCUUCAUACACUGAAAUUGUUGUUGAAUUCCCCUUGUUUCUAGGAGAAAAGUGUAUAAUUCAGGAAAAUAAGUACACAUUUCCAAUUACCUGGCCCCUUCUACUCACACAUACAAAUACACACACACACACACACACACACACACACACACACACACACACACACACACAGAGUCUUUCUCUUACCCAAACUCCCCCGCAGUGGGGCAGUGUGAGAAUCAAGGAUCAAGGUUUCCCGGUGCAAAGGCAGGUCAGCAGCACUUUCCGCUGCUGGGGUGUUGAUGUCUCAGAACAGACACUCUCCUGGCUAUGGCCUCCAGAUGCAACGACAGGGAUAAGAAAACACAGCACACUCUGCAAGUCUGUCAAGUAGAGACACAGGUCAGGCAGCAUGUUUCCCCAACACAGAGGUCCCAGGUUAGGGGAUCUUUAAUAUGGAGAGAAUCGUAAAGAUGAUUCAGUCUAAGCCCCUCAUUUACAGAUGGGGAAACUGAGGCCCAGGGAAGCAAAGGGAUCUGGCCAAGGCCACUUAGCUUUGUGGAGGCAUAUUAGGGCUGGGAUUCCAGAUCCACCAAUCCCCAGGCUGUGCUCUUGUCCCUGCAUCCUGAGACUCAGAAACUAGAAUUCCCCUCAGGCUCCUUCCAACGCCCAAUUCUACUUUUGCGAAACACAUUCUCUAAGAGAAGCUUUGUUUUCUGGCUAAAAUAGCUGUGCUUGCUGAGUUGAGGUCAUAGAACUCUUGAGGCAGAGAUUGCCAAACUUUGCCACCCCACGAUACUGCAGAUGCUGCAGUUUCUCUGCACCUGGAAUCUUCCUUCUCCCAAACGGAAAUCAGCAAUUGGCAGCACCAGCAAACACCAGCACAUGUCUCCCAUCCUCACCAUGUUUAUCUCCACUCAUUGGAAAGGAGCUGCCCCGCCUCUGGCCACCUGACCAGAAUGUUCUUAACUCUCAAGAGGAGAGAGACUGCUCUUUGUAGUUACAGCAGAAUGGUUGGGAAGUCGUUCACAAAGACAGUAAGAGCAUAGACUCCUACCUGCAGGUAAGACAUUCUUGGGGUCCAAUCUCAUCUUGAAUGAGUUAUUCAACUUGCCGUGAGCAUCAGCUUCCUCAUCUGUAAAACAGGAAUAAUAAUAUAGAGUUGUGAGGAUCAAGUGAAAUAAUGCACAGCACUUAAAACAGUGCCUGGCACAUGACAGACAUUCAAUAAAGGGUGAUUUUCAGAAUUGUACAGAAGGAAUGCCACUGUAGAAACAUGUACAAGGCACCCAGGUGGCACAUGGAGAAGGCAAGCCUUCCAAUGACAUGAGAACGGCCACGUGCCAGGCCCUGUAGUUGAUGUUUUACAUGCAUCCUCUCACUGAAUGCUCACACUCCCUCUGAGAACUGUGUUACCCACUUUUCACAGAAGAGAAAAUCAAGGCUCAGAGAGCUUCUUCCUAGGCAUAGACAGAAAUGGCAAUUUCCUUCUCAUUCUUUUAUCACCUGGCUCCCCAGAGAAAAGUCACUAAAACCAAGAAGACGUCAAGGACCUGGGGCGCCUCGUAGGUGACAUUCACUCACUUGCUCACACAUCUUCGGAUUUGUGCUGAGCCCUCUUGUGCCCGAGCCUCUGUGCUACACCCCGGGCCAGAGCAGAGAUGGCAGCUCUGGUCCUCGAGGAGCUUCUAUCCCCGUGGCUGGACAGACCUCAAAGUCUCACUACACAUCUGAUUAUUCAUUCACAGCCAUGAUAGAGAGAAAGGGAUGUGCCUGGCUUGGGACCUGAUCUGGUUCAAGAGGAUGUGAGGUUCCAUCUCCGUCUGCUCUUGCCUUCCCAACAUCUCAGUUUGUGAGGGAGAUCGGAGGGUAGAGAGGAAGAGACCAUGAGCAGAGGUAGAAGUAGUUGAGCCUGUUAUUAUUGCAUGGAGGGGAAGAAGGUCUCUUUUCAGCCCAGAGAUCACACGGCAGUGCUCUUGGGGGGGACUCCCAUUGCCACAGCUGUGAUGAAUGCUGACCUUGGCCAGGCAAUGCCUCUCACACCCACAGCCAAGGAGGGUGUGGAACUGACAAGAUGCCGAGUGUAUAGCUUCUACUGCUGUCAUUGGUGGCAUUGUUGAGAAUAUCCUUUACAUCUGAUUUACAUGGCAGGUUCUAGUCUACCCAGCACUUUUGACAUCCACCAUUUCAUUUUAUUUGUUGUGCAUAAUAUUUAUAUACAAUAUUUAUAUACAGUGGGGGUGGGUGGGCCAGGAGAGACUGGGAAUUACUUCUCAUUACUGCUACUCCUCACUGUAGCUCAAUUUUCUACCCUCUGAGGUAAACAAGGUAGGUAUUAUCAGCCCCAUUUUACAGAUAAGGAAACUGAGGCUGUGAGCAUUUAAGUUACUGGCCCGAGGUCACAGAGGUCAUUUGCUUCCGAGCCAGGGAUUUGGUCAGUAGGGUCCUCACGUUGACAUGCAGUGAUGCCACAUGUUGGUCCCUUGUCAGACUCUGCCCAAGUUUCACCCUGUGACAAAGAGCCUCUUAGCUCCACAUUCUUUACCAGGUAGAAUAAGGCUGUGUCCUGAGGAAAUAAGGUCCUCAUGGCAGGUCUGGACUGCUCUUCUUCCCUAUGUUCUAGUGACACUCCUCCCUCCCCACUUUGGCUCCUGUUAUGAACUGAAUUGUGUCCCCUGCCUCCAUUCAUAUGUUUAAGCUCCCACCUCCAAUGUAACUGUAUGUGGAAAUAGGCCCUUCAAGGAGAUAAUUAAGAUUAAAUGAGGUCAUAAGGAUGGAGCCCUAAUAUGACAGGACCGGUGUCCUUAUAAGAGAAGGAGACACCAGAAUUCUCUCUCUCUAAGCAUGCUCAGAAGAAAGGUCAUGUGAGGACACAGCCAGAAGGCAGCCAUCUGCAAGCCAGGAAGAGAGGCCUCACCAGGAACCAACGCUGGCACCUUGAUCUUGGACUCCAGCCUCCAGAACAGUGAGAAAAUGAAUUUCUGUGAUUAAAGCCACCCAGCCUGUGUCACUUUGUCAUGGAAGUCUGAGCAGACUAAUAUAGCUACUAUGUCCUAAAUCUCCACCCUCCACCUUCACCUAAAGGCAUUGAGCACAGGUAUUUUACCCAAGACUUUCUUUCCGGGGUUCUCCUCAAUUAACUGCUUAAAUUAAUCUCUCUUGCAGUGUUUAUUUUCACAAAAACUUUCAAGAGAGAUUUCCAAAGAAAUAGUUUGUGACCCUGAGAAACAGGUUUGGCUUCAUCAGUGAACAGCAUGAAUUAUGAAACUGAUCCUGUUCCCCCAUUUGACAUGUUUGCUUGGGAGCUCAGAAUUAAAUUGACAGCCUAAACUUCUAGAAAGUUUACUUGCCCUUCUGUGAAACACUUUAUAUACUGUCACCACUGCUUUCACCUUAAUUUCCUUCUUGUUUUUUUCUCAUCAGUUGCUUCUUACAUUUAUUUCAUAAGUUAAUCGAUGAAUAAUACAUUCUUGUUGUAAAUAAUGAACUCAGAAGUAUACAGAACAAAACCUGAAAGCAUUCAUUUAUUAUGUCAUAGUACUCUCUCUGUAUUUGUGUAAGUAGCCUCAAAUCCAUUUGGAACAAUAUUAGGAAUAAUCAAAUUUUUUAAAACAAAUAAAAGAUACCUUUAUCUGAAAAACAAAUAAAUAGGUACCUUUGUUUGAAAGCUUACUGCCAUGCUAGGAAUGUUCAGUAUGCUUUCUCUUUUGAUUGUCACAGCAACUCUAUAAGGCAGAUUUCAUAUGCUCAUUUCACAAACUAACACAAUUGAAUGAGGUUAAGUUAGUUGUCCAAAGUCAUAGUAAGUGGUAAAGUCAGAAUAAAACUCAGAUCAAGAGUUCAAAGUUUGUGUGUUCAAUAGCAAAGUCAUGGAAUCAACCUAAAUGCCCAUCAAUGGUGGACUGGAUAAAGAAAAUGUGGUAUAUAUACACCAUGAAAUACUACACAGCCAUAAAAAAGAACGAGAUCAGGUCCUUUGCAGCAACAUGGACGAAGCUGAAGGCCAUAAUCCUAAAAGAACCAACGCAGGAACAGAAAUAACAAAUACUGCAUGUUCUCACUUAUAAGUGGCAGCUAAACAUUGAGUACACAUGGACAUAAAGAAGGAAACAGGCCAGGCGCGCUGGCUCACGCCUGUAAUCCCAGCACUUUGGGACGCCGAGGCGGGCAGAUCACAAGGUCAGGAGAUCGAGACCAUCCUGGCUAACGCGGUGAAACCCUGUCUCUACUAAAAAUACAAAAAAAUUAGCCGGACGUGGUGGCGGGCACCUGUAGUCCCAGCUACUCUGGAGGCUGAGGCAGGCGAAUGGCGUGAACCCGGGAGGCAGAGAUUGCAGUGAGCCGAGAUAGCGCCACUGCACUCCAGCCUGGGCGACAGAGCGAGACUCCGUCUCGAAAAACAAAACAAAACAAAACAAAAAACGAAAGACACCAGGGCCUGCCUGAGGGUGGAGGGUGGGAAGCUGGGGAAGGGGUAGAAAAUUUUAAAAAACUACCUAUUGGGUGCUAUGCUUAUUACCAGGGUGAUGAAAUAAUCAGUACAGCAAACCCCAUGACAAGCAAUUUACCUAUAUAACAAACCUGCACAUGUACUCUGGAA
rnacentral:lncRNA from 1 species